rnacentral:rRNA from 1 species
GACUAACGCUGGCGGUAUGCCUUAUACAUGCAAGUCGAACGGUAAGGUCUCUUCGGAGAUACACGAGUGGCGGACGGGUGAGUAACACGUAGGAAUAUACCCUUAGAUGGGGGACAACUCGGAGAAAUUCGAGCUAAUACCCCAUAUGUCGUAAGAUGAAAGAUUUAUCGUCUAAGGAGUAGCCUGCGUUUGAUUAGCUUGUUGGUGGGGUAAAAGCCUACCAAGGCGACGAUCAAUAGCUGGUUUGAGAGGAUGACCAGCCACAAUGGGACUGAGAUACGGCCCAUACUCCUACGGGAGGCAGCAGUAGGGAAUUUUGCGCAAUGGAGGAAACUCUGACGCAGCAAUACCGCGUGCGGGAAGACGCUCUGUGGAGUGUAAACCGCUGUCGGGUGGGAAGAAUUUUGACGGUACCACCAAAGGAAGCACCGGCUAACUCUG